rnacentral:rRNA from 1 species
GACGAACCGUGCGAACGUUAUUCGGAAUCACUGGGCUUAAAGCGCGUGUAGGCGGGCCGCCACGUCGGGCGCUGAAAUCCCCCGGCUCAACCGGGGAACGGGCACCGAUACGAGCGGCCUGGAGGGGAGUAGGUGGACCUGGAACUUCCGGUGGAGCGGUGAAAUGCGUUGAGAUCGGAAGGAACGCCCGUGGCGAAAGCGAGGUCCUGGGCUCCUGCUGACGCUGAGACGCGAAAGCCAGGGGAGCGAACGGG